rnacentral:rRNA from 1 species
UAGCUAGUUGGUAGGGUAAGGGCCUACCAAGGCGACGAUCGGUAGCUGGUCUGAGAGGAUGGCCAGCCACACUGGAACUGAGACACGGUCCAGACUCCUACGGGAGGCAGCAGUGGGGAAUAUUGGACAAUGGGGGCAACCCUGAUCCAGCAAUGCCGCGUGUGUGAAGAAGGCCUGAGGGUUGUAAAGCACUUUCAGUAGGGAGGAGGGUUGAUUGGUUAAGAGCUGAUUGACUGGACGUUACCUACAGAAGAAGCACCGGCUAACUCCGUGCCAGCAGCCGCGGUAAUACGGAGGGUGCGAGCGUUAAUCGGAAUUACUGGGCGUAAAGCGUGCGUAGGUGGUUGAAUAAGUUAUCUGUGAAAUCCCUGGGCUUAACCUGGGCAGGUCAGAUGAUACUGUUUGACUCGAGUAUGGGAGAGGGUAGUGGAAUUUCCGGUGUAGCGGUGAAAUGCGUAGAGAUCGGAGGGAACACCAGUGGCGAAGGCGGCUACCUGGCCUAAUACUGACACUGAGGCACGGAAGCGUGGGGAGCAAACAGGAUUAGAUACCCUGGUAGUCCACGCUGUAAACGAUGUCAACUAGCUGUUGGUUAUAUGAAAAUAAUUAGUGGCGC